GAGAGAGAGAGAGAGAAGGAAGGAAGGAAGGAAGGAAGGAUUGCAAUAUAAGCAUCGAUUGCCAAUCUUGUGUCAUCAGUGAGUUAUCUGACAGUACCUCUAUUGCCAUGUUAUAUAUUCCUCUGUUUAU